CCGCUCCCCGUUCCUCCCAAAUUGUGUGUAGACUGGAUUUAACUGUGUGUAGUAUAAGUGAGAGUAAAUCACAAAGCCAGUGGGAGGAAGGUUCCAUAUUCUGCUCCAGUCUCGGGUAAAACUGAUGCUUCAUCUACUCUACGUUGCACACGAAAGACCAGGAGAAAAAGCAACCUGUACCUCUCUCAUUCCCUGAGACCCUAACUUGUGACGUUUUGCUGUGAUGUGCACGGGUUGGGUUCUUGGGAGCUGCGAGGGGCACUCACACAUCUCAAUAAAAAAAAAAAAGAAAAAAAAAGAAAGGGAUUGUCAGGACAGCCCAGCUUUGGUCACUGAAGGCAUGUUGACAGGGAACGGUCAUAAUGUAUUUACUGGCAACUGUGAUGUGGUAGAUUGGGUCACGGCUGAAACACUACCAUUAACUACGCCAUGGCCAAUUUAGGCUUCCACGUGGUGGCAUUGAAGAUUAAAGGGAAGGAACACAGAGCACAUUUUGUGUCAUUUGGAUGUUUUGGCUUAGAAGGAGUUAUGUGAGGGAGUGUGAGAGAGGAUAACAGUGGAAUGUGGGCAGGAAGGAUAUGUGACCAGCAUGGGCAAAUGGAGUGGAGUCCAAAUCAGGUAUGAUGUAUGAAUAAUUUAUCUUUGACAAAGGUUGCACCCACGGUGACUAAUCUUGCAAUUACUAACACAAGGAACAGAACCAGUACCCCCCUACCCCACCCUCCAGCUGUAUACACUUAAAGCCAUAAGUUAAUAUCCAUCAUGGCUAAAAACUCUGGAACUCACUUUUCUCCAACUACACACAUUUUAUGCUUCCAAACAAUACAUUAAGCAAUUUAUGAAGGCAACUUAAUUUUGUGUGUGUAUAAAAAAUAAUAGUUACAAGAUAGAUUUAUUUCAGUUUUUAUUCACAAUGUUGGAUUUUCAGUGGGUCAGCUGUUCAAAUUAGCUCAGUUG